CAGCUCAAAUUUGAAAUCUGGCUCCUUCGGGGCCCGAGUUGUAAUUUGUAGAAGAUGCUUUGGGCGCGGCCCCGGUCUAAGUUCCUUGGAACAGGACGUCAUAGAGGGUGAGAAUCCCGUAUGUGACUGGGUGCCUGCGCCCGUGUAAAGCUCUUUCGACGAGUCGAGUUGUUUGGGAAUGCAGCUCAAAAUGGGUGGUAAAUUUCAUCUAAAGCUAAAUAUUGGCCAGAGACCGAUAGCGCACAAGUAGAGUGAUCGAAAGAUGAAAAGCACUUUGGAAAGAGAGUUAAACAGUACGUGAAAUUGUUGAAAGGGAAGCGCUUGCAACCAGACUCGCGGGCCGUCGAUCAUCCGGGGUUCUCCCCGGUGCACUCGGCGGCCCUCGGGCCAGCAUCGGUUUCGGUGGCGGGACAAAGGCCUUGGGAAUGUAGCUUCUUUCGGGGAGUGUUAUAGCCCUCGGCGCAAUGCCGCCUACCGGGACCGAGGACCGCGCUUCGGCUAGGAUGCUGGCGUAAUGGUUGUAAGCGACCCGUCUUGAAACACGGACCAAGGAGUCUAACAUCUAUGCGAGUGUUUGGGUGUUAAACCCAUACGCGGAAUGAAAGUGAACGGAGGUGAGAACCCUUUAGGGCGCAUCAUCGACCGAUCCUGAUGUCUUCGGAUGGAUUUGAGUAAGAGCAUAGCUGUUGGGACCCGAAAGAUGGUGAACUAUGCCUAAAUAGGGUGAAGCCAGAGGAAACUCUGGUGGAGGCUCGCAGCGGUUCUGACGUGCAAAUCGAUCGUCAAAU
rnacentral:rRNA from 1 species